rnacentral:RNase_P_RNA from 1 species
GACAAACGCUGCAUUUGUUGUAGAGGAAAGUCCAUGCUUGCACUAUCCUGAGAUGGUAGUAGUGAUUGUGCAUAGGGAAAAAAUAACCUAUGGUAGUUUAUACUAACGGCAUCGAAAUAAUCCUAUAAGGAUUAAAUUAGAUAUAAAGUGCCACAGAAACGAUGCUUCUAGUAAUAGAAGAAUGAAACGCGGUAAACCCCACAAGCAAGAAACCCAAAUUAUGGUAGGGGAGUUUAAAGUAGGGAAUUCAACUUACUUUAGAACCAAUUUAUUGGUAGAUAGAUGUUUGUCGCUCUAUUUUGAGUACAGAACAUGGCUUAUAA